UGGCGACCGGCGCACGGGUGAGUAACACGUAUCCAACCUGCCGAUGACUCGGGGAUAGCCUUUCGAAGGAAAGAUUAAUACCCGAUGGCAUAGUUCUUCCGCAUGGUGGAACUAUUAAAGAAUUUCGGUCAUCGAUGGGGAUGCGUUCCAUUAGGUUGUUGGCGGGGUAACGGCCCACCAAGCCUUCGAUGGAUAGGGGUUCUGAGAGGAAGGUCCCCCACAUUGGAACUGAGACACGGUCCAAACUCCUACGGGAGGCAGCAUG
rnacentral:rRNA from 1 species